CAAAGGCAUAGACUUAGAAAUUAAAAGUAAAAUAAAAAAGAACAAUCACGAUCAACCAAUCAAUUUAAUUUUGGGGAUCUUCUUGCUCUUGUCCUACUUUUUUCAAUU
rnacentral:ribozyme from 1 species